AUUUAAAAUUCAAACCUCCGCCAUCAAACCUCUGCCCAUAUUCAAAAUUCAAUCUAUACACAAUUCAAACCUCUGCAAUCAAAACGUCUGCCCAUAUUCAAAAUUCCAAAUUCAAACCAUAUACAUAUAUAACGUACAUGAUUAUUCAUAACCUCUCUUCAAUCAAUCAGUUACUCUCUCUUACAUACACAUACAAUUCGAGAAUUUAGGGUUUCAGUAAAAGCUCAAAUUCUCUAAAUUCAAGCGUGUAAUAUAUGUUUCUACAUCUUAAUUUCUCGAAUUUGAUCUGUUUAUGUGUAUAUAUAUCUGUAAUUUGUUCAAUUUUUCGGUUUCUGAAACCCUAGUUUCGGUUUCAAGGUUUUGUGGUUGGAGAUGUGCUUCGGAUUUGUAACGGAGCUCAGCUCCCAUGGCCUCCAACACCGACGCCGCAGAGUCUCCGGCCGCCGCCGUGAACUCCGAAUCCACCUCCGACGUGUUGGUGUAGUACGUAGUUCUCUGACGAGGUGUAUCAUUGUUUUUGUUAUGUUCGUUCGAGUGAGUUAUCAUAACUCAUGUAAACUUUACUCAAUCUCAGAUGUGCUUUGGAUGCUGAAAUUUCCAAGUAUGUUGAAGAGGCUUAUCCAAAAGGCGUCUUUUCAGUUUAAUGUACAAAUGCGACUAUCUUUUUUGAGAAGAGGAAGAGAGAGAGAUUGAAGCAAAUCAAGAUAACGUGUUAAACCUGUGUACUGAGAAGGUCCUUCUUGCACGCCAAGCUUAUGAACUUGAAGCAUUUGAGUGCUAUCAUAUGUCAGAUAUCGAAGCUGGGUUAGGGCUAAAAAGAAACCACUUGAUAGCCGUUGCCUUUUUGGUUGGAAACGAUUAUGAUCUAAAAGGUGUCCAAGGGAUUGGGCUCAAGACAGCACUCACUUUUGUGAAAUCUUUUGACGAAGAUGAGGUUUUAGAUAAGUUUGACUAACUUCUUAUUUAGUAAAUUCUUUUACAAUGUGGUACCGAAUACAGAAUUAUUAAUUUGGAUAUGACUUUUGACGGCGACAACUAAUUAAAGAACUUGAGCAUGGUCGUGUAUUGGCCCAUGAGUUGGUUCAAGCGGUUCAAGAGAUGCUUUCUGCUGCUGGAAUUAGAAUGGACAUAGAGAAGCAGUCACUCUCACAAACAACUUUGUCCCUGCAAGAACAACUAAAAGAAUAUAAAGCCGCACUUUUACUCUAGCAGGCAUGUAAAAGUUUUAUUUUGAUUUGUAUCAAGGUUCUGUUUGGUAUGAGAUAAUGGAAUGGACGAAGGAAUUGAAUGGGCGAGGUAAUGGAUGGACGAGGGAAUGCAAUGGAUCAUUAUCAUUUCAUGUCUUGUUUGGUUACCAUGUGUGAAUGGAAUGAAUUAUUAUUAUGUAUUAUCAUUCCAUACUUGUGCAUGGGUAGGGGACCAUAUGAUUAAGUAGAACUUCAAUUUGAUUCUAAAUCUAGCAUCUGUAUUCUCAAUGAUUUUGGUUU